UUGAAAGGGAAACGAUUGAAGUCAGUCGUACCAGCGGGAAAUCAACCUUUCGAGUGGGGGUUUUGGAGUUUUUUGAAGAGUGUCAAAACCUUUGAGAUUUCAAAAUAUUCGCUCUUUUGGUGUACUUUCUCGUGGGUAGGUUAACAUCGAUUUUGAUCAUCAUAAAAAGAUUGGAGGAAUGUAGCUUCGAUCUUGUAUUGAAGUGUUAUAGCCUUUGGUAAAUGUGAUGAUUAGGAUCGAGGAUUGCAACGAAUACCCUUUUGGGCUAUCCGCCUGAUCUCUGAUACGUGGCCUUGGUAUCGGAAGCGUGCUUAUGGUAUUGAGGUAUUACGGUCAAAAGGUUAGAACGGAUUACAUUCGUUAAGGAUGUUGACGUA
rnacentral:rRNA from 1 species